rnacentral:rRNA from 1 species
GACGAACCGUGCGAACGUUAUUCGGAAUCACUGGGCUUAAAGCGCGUGUAGGCGGGCCAGCACGUCGGGCGCUGAAUCCCCCGGCUCAACCGGGGAACGGGCACCGAUACGACUGGCCUGGAGGGGAGUAGGGGGACCUGGAACUUCCGGUGGAGCGGUGAAAUGCGUUGAGAUCGGAAGGAACGCCCGUGGCGAAAGCGAGGUCCUGGGCUCUUACUGACGCUGAGACGCGAAAGCCAGGGGAGCGAACGGG